rnacentral:rRNA from 1 species
CAGUCGCCGCGGUAAUACGUAGGUGGCAAGCGUUGUCCGAAAUUAUUGGGCGUAAAGGGCUCGCAGGCGGUUUCUUAAGCCUGAUGUGAAAGCCCCCGGCUCAACCGGGGAGGGUCAUUGGAAACUGGGAAACUUGAGUGCAGAAGAGGAGAGUGGAAUUCCACGUGUAGCGGUGAAAUGCGUAGAGAUGUGGAGGAACACCAGUGGCGAAGGCGACUCUCUGGUCUGUAACUGACGCUGAGGAGCGAAAGCGUGGGGUGCGAACAGGAUUAGAUACCCCCGUAGUCCCUGUCUCUUAUAC